GACGAACGCUGGCGGCGUGCAUAACACAUGCAAGUCGAACGGAAAGGCCCUGCUUUUGUGGGGUGCUCGAGUGGCGAACGGGUGAGUAACACGUGAGUAACCUGCCCUUGACUUUGGGAUAACUUCAGGAAACUGGGGCUAAUACCGGAUAGGAGCUCCUGCUGCAUGGUGGGGGUUGGAAAGUUUCGGCGGUUGGGGAUGGACUCGCGGCUUAUCAGCUUGUUGGUGGGGUAGUGGCUUACCAAGGCUUUGACGGGUAGCCGGCCUGAGAGGGUGACCGGCCACAUUGGGACUGAGAUACGGCCCAGACUCCUACGGGAGGCAGCAGUGGGGAAUAUUGCACAAUGGGCGGAAGCCUGAUGCAGCAACGCCGCGUGCGGGAUGACGGCCUUCGGGUUGUAAACCGCUUUCGCCUGUGACGAAGCGUGAGUGACGGUAAUGGGUAAAGAAGCACCAGCUAACUACGUG
rnacentral:rRNA from 1 species